UUUAAAAAAAAAUCUAGAUACUCCCCUUUAUCUAAAAAAUCGCUUUGAGUUUCUCUGCGACACUCAUGAGCGUUCCCUCGGUCAUCUUCAACCUUAACACUCAAAACUCCUUCCCAUACUACUUCCUUUUGUUCAAACUCCUUUUCUUUUAAAGCUGUAAAACUUUGGAACUCUCUUUCUCUCUCUAUAACAAAAGCUCAAUCUCUAUCUUGUUUUAAAAAA